rnacentral:rRNA from 1 species
GAUGAACGCUGGCGGCGUGCCUAAUACAUGCAAGUCGAGCGAACAGACGAGGAGCUUGCUCCUCUGACGUUAGCGGCGGACGGGUGAGUAACACGUGGAUACCCUCCCUGUAAUACUGAGAUAACUUCGGGACACCGGAGCUAAUACCGGAUAAUAUAUUGAACCGCAUGGUUCCAUAGUAAAAUACGGUUUUGCUGUCACUUCUCGAUGGAUCCGCGCCGCAUUAGCUAGUUGGUAAGGUAACGGCUUACCACGGCAACGAUGCGUAGCCGAACUGAGAGGGUGAUUGGCCAAACUGGAACGGAGACACGGUCCAGACUCCUACGGGAGGCAGCAGUAGGGAAUCUGCCGCAAUGGGCGAAAGCCUGACGGAGCAACGCCGCGUGAGUGACGAAGGUCUUCGGAUCGUAAAACUCUGUUAUUAGGUAAGAACAAAUGUGUAAGUAACUAUGCACGUCUUGACGGUACCUAAUCAGAAAGCCACGGCUAACUACGUG